rnacentral:misc_RNA from 1 species
AACGCACAUUGCGCCCGCCGGUAUUCCGGCGGGCAUGCCUGUUCGAGCGUCAUUUCACCACUCAAGCCCAGCUUGGUGUUGGGGCACCCGGCCUUCACAGGUCCGGGGCCCCCAAGUACAUCGGCGGUCUCGCCUGGACCCUGAACGCAGUAACUCGCGGUAAAACGCGCUUCGUUUGGGAAUCCCGGCGGGCACCUGCCGCUAAACUUUACUCCAAAGGUUGACCUCGGAUCAGGUAGGAAUACCCGCUGAACUUAA